rnacentral:rRNA from 1 species
CCUACGGGAGGCAGCAGUGGGGAAUAUUGGGCAAUGGGCGCAAGCCUGACCCAGCAACGCCGCGUGAAGGAAGAAGGCUUUCGGGUUGUAAACUUCUUUUAAGAGGGAAGAGCAGAAGACGGUACCUCUUGAAUAAGCCACGGCUAACUCCGUGCCAGCAGCCGCGGUAAUACGUAGGUGGCAAGCGUUGUCCGUAUUUACUGGGUGGAAAGGGCGUGCAGCCGGGAAGACAAGUCAGAUGUGAAAUCCCGCGGCUCAACCGCGGAACUGCAUUUGAAACUGUUUUUCUGGAGUACCGGAGAGGUCAUCGGAAUUCCUUGUGUAGCGGUGAAAUGCGUAGAUAUAAGGAAGAACACCAGCGGCGAAGGCGGAUGACUGGACGGAAACUGACGGUGAGGCGCGAAAGCGUGGGGAGCAAACAGGAUUAGAUACCCCAGUAGUC